UCAAACAAUACUUUUUCUAAUUCAAACAAAAAUCAAUUAAUCAAAAUACCAAAUACAAAAUCUAAACAAAAAAAAUAAAGUCGAAAAAAAAAAAUCUAAACUCGCAAAAAAAAUCUAAACUCGCAAACAAAUUAUUUGUGUAGUUGCAAAAAAAAAACUGUUUGAAUAACUUGUCUUUUGGUUUACAAUAACAACAAUCAUUUGCAGCGACAUCAUUCGUUUGUUUGCUCCUGGCUUUUUCAGUUUCGAUUCUGGCUCUCGCGUUUGCGCUGCCUGUUUCUUUGCUUGCGAUUCUGGCACAAACUUCACAUAUGGGUGGGUGUCUGUGGGGUGCAUUCCUAUUGGCUGAUGCGUUUUGACUGACAGCUUUACUAUGGAUUCAAGCGCAAGAGCUACCCACCCCCCUCCCCUCCCCAGUAGGUAGUGGUGCAACGCUCUUUUUGGCCACUAUGUACAGGUAUAUUCGAUGUGGCGCUAUUGAGCACAGUAUGUCAACCGCCAUAUGAAGAAGAAGAAGAUAUUGACCACAGUAAGUUCCGUGGAGCUAGCUACACCAAAGCCAUCGAUGGGCUACACGCGUUAUGGACUCAAAACAAUGGGUUUUCCUCACUACUCAUUAAUCCAAGAACAACUCAUCGUGAUGGAGCACCUGUACUCCCUGAUACAGCAGGAUCUGAGGGGAUUCCUCAGACAGGACGCAGAUGUGGAUUGACAACAUCCUGCAGUUUGACUUUAUUAGAAUAAGUGUUGUUUUGAAUAAAGGACAAUGAAAUUGAAUUAUUUUACAUACUACUUACUGUAUGUUAACCUGACUCACCACUUGAAUUUCGUUCCACCUAGCUCCUCACAUUCAUCUGGAACUACUCCAUUGGAAAUGUAUUUCAGAAGGCAGGGCCUUGUCAAAACUCCUUUCAUAUGAUUGGAUAAACUAAUUUGACAUGCUACUACAACAGGGGUGGGCAAACUAAGGCCCAGGGGCCACAUGCGGCCCUCUGCUCUGUUUCAUGUGGCCCGCCAUGAAGUCAAACACAUAAAAUUAAAUGUGGCCUGUUGUUACAUAAACCUGAUAUACAUCCAUCACACAGCAUGGUUUCAUAACUGAUGUGCUAUGUUUGUCAAUGAAAACAAGAGAACAGGCCGCACUAUGCAUAAGCAAUCACCAUUUAUUCACACAGACGCGCUUCGGCGCUCUGCCUUCCCAGUAUGUUUGUCAAUACCAUCAUCAAGCUGUACUUUUGGGAACUCUGACUGAAUAAAUACAUUUUUUUGGAAGAUAA